rnacentral:rRNA from 1 species
CAAAAACAUAGCCAUUUGCUAAUAUAAAUGGUGCCCCCUGCUCAAUGAAUUUUUAAAUAGCCGCAGUACAUUGACUGUGCUAAGGUAGCAUAAUCAUUUGGCUUAUAAUUGAAGUCUUGUAUGAAUGGGGAAAUAAAGGGCAACUUUAUUGGCGUAAUUAAUAAAACUUAUUUAUAAAGUGCAAAUACUUUUAGCAAAAUAAUAGACGAGAAGACCCUAGAAAUUUUAAUUAAUUGUUAUUAUCUUUUUUGUUGGGGCAACAUUAGAGCAAUUUCAACCUCUAGUAGAAACAAGAAAUAUUUUUGAAAGCUAAAAUUACUCUAGGGAUAACAGCGUAAUUUUUGAAGUGUUUGCGACCUCGAUGUUGGAUUAGGGACGUAUAUUUUAGAAGA